rnacentral:rRNA from 1 species
ACGCUCGACACCUACGAGGCAGCAGUCGGGAAUAUUGCGCAAUGGAGGAAACUCUGACGCAGUGACGCCGCGUGCAGGAAGAAGGUUUUCGGAUUGUAAACUGCUUUAGACAGGGAAGAAAAAGGACAGUACCUGUAGAAUAAGCUCCGGCUAACUACGUGCCNNNCGCGAGUAUNGNGGCGNGNGAGAG